GUGCUCACUGGGGCUGCACAUAUACUAAAGUUGGAACAAUACAGAGAAGAUUGGCAUGGCCCCAGGGAAAGGAUGACGUGCGAGUCUGUGUAACAUCCAUACUUUUG